GCGAGAUUAGCUCACUUGGAUAGAGCGACAGCCUCCGGAGCUGUAGGUAGCACGUUCGAAUCGUGUAUCUCGCA
rnacentral:tRNA from 1 species